AUACUUACCUGGCAGGGGAGAUACAAUGAUCAAGUAUGUUGUUCACCCAGGGCGAGGCUCAGCCAUUGCACUCCGGUUGUGCUGACCCCUGUGAAUUCCCCAAAUGUGGGAAUCUCAACUGCAUAAUUUCUGUUAGUGGGGGACUGCGUUCGCGCUCUCCCCUG